UAGGGAAUCUUCGGCAAUGGACGGAAGUCUGACCGAGCAACGCCGCGUGAGUGGAGAAGGUUUUCGGAUCGUAAAGCUCUGUUGUAAGAGAAGAACGAGUGUGAGAGUGGAAAGUUCACACUGUGACGGUAUCUUACCAGAAAGGGACGGCUAACUACGUGCCAGCAGCCGCGGUAAUACGUAGGUCCCGAGCGUUGUCCGGAUUUAUUGGGCGUAAAGCGAGCGCAGGCGGUUAGAUAAGUCUGAAGUUAAAGGCUGUGGCUUAACCAUAGUAGGCUUUGGAAACUGUUUAACUUGAGUGCAAGAGGGGAGAGUGGAAUUCCAUGUGUAGCGGUGAAAUGCGUAGAUAUAUGGAGGAACACCGGUGGCGAAAGCGGCUCUCUGGCUUGUAACUGACGCUGAGGCUCGAAAGCGUGGGGAGCAAACAGGAUUAGAUACCCUGGUAGUCCACGCUGUAAACGAUGAGUGCUAGGUGUUAGACCCUUUCCGGGGUUUAGUGCCGUAGCUAACGCAUUAAGCACUCCGCCUGGGGAGUACGACCGCAAGGUUG
rnacentral:rRNA from 1 species